GGCGUGGGUGGGGAACCGGGCACACCACGCCGACGUCGGGGGCGAGGCGCCGGGUUCGAUGCCGGCCCACGCCACCA
rnacentral:tRNA from 2 species